rnacentral:lncRNA from 1 species
CCCUUAUGUCAGCCCCUGCCAGCCCAGCCUCCAGGGGCCCAGAACAGCUUUCCCACCCCCUGGAGAGGACAGCUUACCCUCCACUUGCUCUUAGCAAAGUUCUUCUGGAUCUGGAGGCUGACUGAUGGGUAGAUGUCCCGGUGGAGGGCUGUGUUUCCGUCAAUCCUGUGGAUGUAAGAGGGGACACCUGGCUACUGGGUGGCUAUUUACACUCAUCCAGGGAGUGGGCAGGGUGCCUGCAGGUCUAGGUGAGAGCUGGGUAGAGUGUGCAGAGGAAAGACAGCCCACAGCAGGAAAGGGCUGCAAGCAGGUCUCCUCUGUGCCCCUGGGCAAGUAAGAGUCGGCUUUAGCUUUGGCAAAAUCAAAAACUUUUAGAGCAAGGUCAACAAGCUAUAGCCUAUAGGCCAAAUCGACCUAUUGCCUGUUUUUGUAAAUAAGGUUUUAUGGGGACACAGUGGUGCCCAUUAAUUCAGGUAUUGUCUGUGGCUCCUUUUGCACUGUGACAGCAGGGUUGAGUAGUUGCCAUAAAGACAGUAUGGCCAGGAAAGCCUAAAAUAUUUACUAUCUGAUGCUUUAUAGAAAAAGUUUAUUGGACCCAGCAUCACAGGGCACUGGGGUAGUCACCAUCCUUUAGCUCAAAACCUUGCCUAGAACCCACCUCCUCCUGGAAGCCUUCCUCAGUAAGGCCGUCUGGUACAGGCUGCCCCUUUCCUAUCCCCUUAGCCUCUUAUUCACUGGUCUCUAAGUGUUCCUCAGACACUUGCUGUGUGCAUAGUACUGUGCCAACUACUAAUAGACCUCGAGAAGUAAGAGACAUGGGCCCUGACCCCUAGGAGCCUACAGUCUAGAUGUCGGGUGUUGUUCAUGCUAUGGACUGCAGUAAUACAUGUUGUUCUUAAAUCACUUCACCUGGAACAGUUAUUGAUCCCUGAGUAAAACAAAGCUCUAAAGGACAGGACAGAGUUGCCCAUUCCUGGCACUUCUUGAAUAACUAGUACUGAACAUUGCACCCUAUCCCAGUGCUGAAUGACAGCGCUCGGCUGCACCUGCCUCCUGCACUUGACCAGACAACCCAGCUGCUACCCUUGCAUUAGAACCUGCUCCACUGUAUAAUGUUUGAAUCUCUACCUGGGCCUGAUGAACAAUGGCAUGGUCCUUGCUUGUCACAUCAUUAAAUGGAUCAGGACAAGCAGAUUCCAGGGAAAUGCAAUAUGAAUGAGUCAGCAUGGUUUUGGGAACUACAGGGCUGGGGUCUAGAGUCCACUCCAUGUCUCACUCACCAGGGAUGACUCAAGGCCUUCUCACAGGUGUACCGCUCGUUCGGAUCCUUCUCAAGCAAGUGGCAAAUAAAGUCCUUGGCUAAGGGGAGUAAUCAAAGACACGACGACUAAGGACCAGAUUUCAUGACUGAUGGAAAUUCACUUCCGGGCUGGUGGGUGGCAGUGAAUGCAUCUUUAGCUGAUCUUCCAAAGAGGCAAUUUUAAGAGUCUUAGAAGAGGAAAAAAAAUCCAAACCACCUAACAACAACCCACCAUAAACCACCAAAGAAGGGAAGCUCCAAGCCGCCUCACCCACACAGCACUGCAGAAGCGUCACUAGUCACAAGGCCCCCAUGUGCCUGCACAUCACAUGUGCAUGUGUUUGCACUGAAACAGGGGCCAGCGCUGGCACAUGGGCACGCAUGUGAGUGCUGGAUUGUUCCAGCUCUGAUUUCCACUUAACAGGUCCAACAAUCACGUAAUGAUCAUCUUCUCUCACACAUAGACAUUGCAUGCUCUUUCUUGAUAUCUAACCCCUUAGUUUUGCUGCUCUUGUCUGGAACUCUCCCCUCACCACCUGGCUCUGCCCUCCUGGCCCAUCUUCUAAACUGCCCCCCCAUCUCCUUUUCAGGCAUACUGUGGUUCUGCCUCCAGAAAAACAAAAGCAUAGCUCUUAGAUGUAAAUAAUUUAUCGGGUCUUUGAAGCAGACGAAGAUUUCUCCACUUUCCUUGGCAGCCUGUUCUGUAAGAUCCCCAGGGACUUUGAAGAGCCGGGACUGUCAUCCUUUGUUAAGCUCAUUUCUCUUGGCAGCCUCUACCUUGAGCCUGUUAUCUCUCCUUCAUGCCUACUGGCCUUACCUGACUCAGAAAUGUCAUCCCAGAAUGGAGACUCAAACUCAUAGUAGCCCUCCUUGAUCUUCUCGAAAAGCUUAGACUCCGUUUCUUCAUAGAAUGGGGGGUAUCCACAGAGCCUGCAGCAGGACAGGAAGGAGGCAUACUACUGAACAAACCUGUCCUCCCUGAGCCAGCCUCUCUGCUCCCCCAAGCUCCCACUGUAUACACAGGUGGGCACUGAAGGUCCCAGAACAGUGGUGUGACCAGGACGCAGAUCUGCCUCAAAUUCCAGAAUGGUACAGGUCCCGUAAAGUGUUUAUGCAAGUGCCAAGCCUUGGCACAGUCAUCCCUAGAAGGUCCCUGUGUACAUUAUGCCCUCCAACCCUUGCCACCUCUCCUUAUACUUUCCCUGACUUAUGAAUGCUAUAUAAAAUAUGUUUAAGAAAGUUGGUAGACUGUCUACUUGAAUGUAAGCUUGAUGAAGGAUUUAUUUAGGCUGUGUUGUUCACUGCGGGAUUCUUUAGAACCUAGCACAGGGAUAGAUGCAGAGUAGAUAGGCAGUGAAUAUUGGUUGGGUAAAUAAAUGAGAGUACUUAUUCAACAUAAAUGGAGGAGAUAAUUGAAACCAGGUUAUUUUCCUAAGAGCAAAGUUUGCUAUAGGUGAGGAGGGAUGGUGGGGAAGAGGUGAUGGGCAGGUUAGGAAAGGGAGAGCUUGGGAAUGUGUGGAGAGGAGCGAAAAGGAAAGGCCCUGACCAGCUUUAUCCAGGCCACAGUUUUGCCUUGGGAAAGCUGAGAUGUAGGAACAGAGGGUCCACCUGGCUUCCAAGCCUGGCUUGGCCUCUCUCUUUUUCACUGUUCAUUCCACUGAGUGGGAUGCAACACAUUUAUAGGCAGUAAAAGGGGCAGGGGUGCAAGAGGAGGGAGUGCCAGGUGGCUGUGCAGUGGAUUCACGCUGAGCUCUGUUUUAAAACUUGGUGGAGGUGAAGAGAGAGGAAGCUUUUAAGCUGUGUGUACAUGUAUGUGUGUGUGUGUGUGUGUGUGUGUACCCGUGUGCCCCUGUGCCUGUGUCUGUUUGUGCACAUGCACGUGCUUGGAGGAGGAGCUGAGACAGGGGAGGGAACGAGAAGGGGUAAGCAGGCUCCGAGACUUCUCAUCAGCUGAACCCAGGCCAGCGUCUACUCACAAUAUGUAGGUGAUGACGCCGAUGGACCAGCAAUCCACAGCCUUGCUGUAGGGUUUCUGGGCCAGCACUUCUGGAGCUGCAGCAGACCAAGGGCAGAGUCAGGGCUGGUGGCAAGAGGAGAGGGCUUUGGGGUGGGAGCUGAAGGCCAGGCUUAGAGAAGAGGUCUGGGGAAGACUGUGGGAUGGUGGGGUUUCUAGGAGACUGAAAACUCCCUAAGGGUAGGGGCUGUGUCUCUUCUGGGAAGACUAAAUCUUCCUGAAAAGAGAGACUGUGACUUCUGCAUUAGUUUGUGAGUUUCCCCAUGACAGGGUCGAUGACUCACCUGUUGGACUGGGGAUCUCCAGGGCUAUGUCUCCCUGAUUACACUGAGUAUUCUCUGAAGGCAGGGCCUGUCUCCCCACUCAGAUAGGGGAUUCCCAGGGCAAGUGUGAUCUCUCUCCCUUCAGACUGGGAGAUCUUCAGUGUAGGACUGUCUCUCCUCCACUAGACUGGGAGCCUCUGGGAGGCAGAGACUGAGUCACCCCCAUUAGAUUAGGAGCUCCCAGAGCAAAGGCAGUAUGUCUCCCAUCAGACUGUGGGUACCUUCUGAGGGGAGGCAUUUAGUCUGUCCCAUCAGAUAGAGAGCUUUCAGAGGGCAUGAGCCAUGACUUCCUCUGAUUAGGAGCCCUGUGGGGUGUAGAGAGCUGCCUUCUGUAUUUCUUGCAGCUACCAGAGCUUUGUACCUGGUGGGACUCAAUACCUACUGAGGAGUGAAUGACCUGCCUUUCUGGGAGGGUAGAUUCCCUCUCUUGAGUCAGAGCUCUGCUUCCCAUUACCCAACUGCAAACAGGUGACGACUGGUGAAGUGGGAAGGGACAGGAGCGGAUGCUCUGAGUUUCAACUUUGUCUCCUGUAGAUCCCAGGAAUACUCUUCCAGGUGCCCUGCCUGCUCUCACUCUUUUUGGGGGCCCUGGAAACCUACAGGGAUGUUCAAGCAGGAAGCUCCACCUUUGCCAAUUUCCCAGAGUGCUUCCUUGGGUGGACAUUUAGGAGCCCAUUUCUGGGUUCCUCAGGCCCAAAUUCAAUAUCCUGUGCUUCCAGGCUCCCAAGAACUGGGGGCUAAUGUCUCCUUCAGAGUGGGAGAAAGGAGUAGGGUUGGUGCUCAACCCCUCAGCUCUCUGCUGAUCUCUGGGUUUGUGAUCUUGUCUGCCCCUGGUCCAGCUGGAAAGACAAAGGCUGGAAGUCUAUCCGCAGAAAUGAGAGCCAAAGCAUAGGCAGGGACUCUGGAGGGCUCAGGGGUAGGCGGUCUUUAAAAAUGUAGAAUUUGGGAGCAGUAGAGAUAGAUCCUGAGACGGAUGAAUUGGCUGGCCCUAAACUUUAUAAGUGGAUGUCCUACCAGGAUAGCCCCUGAAGUUGAACCCUAUGUUCUCAGAAUCACCCCUUUCUAUGAAUGAUAGGCAUGUGGUUGAAUGUAGCCAACUGGUCAACCUUCCUCCUGCUCCCAGACUUACCCACGUAGCCUGGGGUCCCACAGGCAGUGGACAUGAUGCCAUUCUGUUCCAUCUUGGACAGACCAAAGUCAGUGAUCAUGAUCUUAGAGUUCUCUUCAGGGGUAAGGUAAAGCAGGUUUUCGGGCUGUAGGAGAAAAAAUAUGUAGUGUAGGAUAUAACCACCUGAAGCAAGUAUUUUCCUUCCCCUUGAUACAAAAUUUCACAGGAAGAUGAGCCCUGGGCUCCUGACUUCAAGGCCAGCUCAUCCUCCCCCAUUCUUCCCUUCUUCCUCCUACCUGCACCCUCACACCUGCACCCCAGUAGUCUGCACCUUGCUUAUGGCUCUGACUUUGCUCGGUCUUGUAAACAUUAAUAUACUCACCCUUUCCUUCCCUCACUUCCAACUACCCUGUUUGUGUUUUGAGAGAACCAAUCUUUGGUUAAUGGUGUCUGAUCUCUCCAGAGUCCAGUGCAAGGCCUAGUACAAUGUAGGCCCUCAGUAAAUAUUUUGUUGCAUUGGGUUUUGACUGUGGCUGGAUGUAAGAAAUGUGUGUAUUAUUUUGGUAUUGAAAUAGGGUAAGGCAUAGUGAAAGUUUCAGGAAAAAUUGAGGUGCAAAUUAGUAACCAUUGUUCACUCAUCCAAGGUCUGUUUAAGGAAUCUAAGGGCAGAAGGGGCCUUGGGAGUCACUAGUCCAACCCUCUUACUUUAUGGAGCUUAGAUGUCCCAUGACCCAUGCAGCUUCCUUAAGGGUCAUUAUCUGUUUCCCACCCAGGACUCCCGCCUUGACACCUUUAAGUCUCUGUGGACGAUGCCAUUCUCAUGUAGGUAUUUCACUGCCGACAAGACCUGCUGGAUCACCAGACUGGCAUCCUUCUCUGUGUAGACACCCCGCUCCAGGAUCCGGUCAAAGAGCUCCCCACCAGAAACACUGUGGGCAUAGGAUCAAGACAGGAAUUCAGUUCUCAUUUCACUCAAAGUAAUGAGAAGGUGUUUGCUUUGAAGCCUUGGGGGACACAGCUGCAGUGGAACAGGCAGGCCCCCAUGAACUGUGAUUGAAGGGCUGCCAGCAGACUACUCCAGUCUCAGAACACCCACUCUGGGUACCUGGAGUGAUAUCACUAGGCAGUCAUCUCUUUGGGCCAAGCAUUGACCUCUCUCUCUGAAAAUUUCCUUUAAAAUGUAAAUGCUUCUGGUUGGGGCUGCACAAGAAGCCAAUAAUCCCUUAGUGUGGACACACUUCUUAGCCACCUUCCUUCCUGGCCUAUGACACAGGAAGCCAUGAUGAAAGAGAGAGGUAACACAGAAAUUAAGCAAAGUAGGAAAGAGAAGGCAUGCAAGUGAGACUAACCGUACUUAUAUCAAGAUUUCUCUUCUCAUUUUGGGAAAUUGGGCUUCAUAAAGCUGGAAUUACAGGUAGGGCUUUAGGGGUGCUUUGAGACUCAAAUGGUAGAGUAUCUUAGGACCCAGGGGAGCUUAAAGAUCAAGUCUGACUUCUAUCUCAUGAAUACCAUCUACUCUAUUUUUGCCUAGAAGUUUUCUAGUGAGUACUAGAACACAUAAGUGUCAGAGAACACUCUUCCUCCUAAGACAGAGUGUUUUUUGGAAUAUUCCUAAUGUUUCUGCACAUUAUGUUGAAACCUGAUGCCCUGUCAUUUCUACCAGUGCUACCAAUUCCACCCAUCGGGACUGCACAGAACAAGAAUAACAGCCUUUCCUGUGCACCUUUCAAGUAUACAAAGAUAGUGAAAUGCUCUCCGGAGGGCUUGCCUUCUCUGAGAUAAGCAUUCCCAGACUAUUUCAACCGUGAGCCAGGGGUUCCAGUCCUCUCACCCUCCUAGUCCCCCUUACCACUGUCCCAUGACAUUAGAUGUGGCCAUCCAUGCCCAACUAGUGAUGAGGGAAAAGAAUUUCUCCGAUCAAAAUUUACCUCAUCCUGCUCUUUG